ensembl:lncRNA
AUGACUUCCAGCUGGAGCGUCCCGAGCAGCCCGCGCGCUCUCGCACUCUCGCUGAGCCUAGGAGCGCGGGGGUGGGUUUCUUUUCUUUUCUUUCUUUCUCUUUUUCUCCAGGCUCCUGCGGCUUCCCCCUGCCGGGAAAUGCUCUCCCUCUAGUUUUCUAGGGCUCUAAUCCCAGUCUCUCCUGAAGCGUGCUUGCGGCCUCCCUUCCUCCGUCGCGGUCUCCCUGGGCUGUGUUUUGCUGGGCAGCAUCCCAUGCUAGGCUCGGCAGACCUACUGGCGGUUGGGUUCAGCCCUUGGAAGCGCUCACACCUGCAGAGUCUAGGCUCCUGCCAAAAGGCGUAAGGCAAAAGGAGGAAAAUUUAUUGCCAUAAUAGCGAAAAUGAUAAACCUCGGCUGUCCUAGAGAAGAAUGUCGGAGUAGGUGUUGAUUGCCUCCCACGAUCGCAAAACAACUUUUUUAAGAAAGAGUUUCGCGCUAUCCCCUCUUAAAACGCGGCGGUUCUUAUUUUCCUUUUAAAGCAGACUUCAAGACUUUUAGGAACUUCAAGUUAGGGACUGGACGCUUCCAAAACGAUGAAUCAUCCCAGGAGAGAAAACAUAUCUGGGAAGUUGUAGUGGUGUAAAUAAGAAUGGAGAGUAUUUGCAAGGAGAGGGAGGGAGGGAGAGAGAAAGAACAAGGAGAGAUGGAAGAGGUUGCUGGUUUUCCGAGUAAGGCAAAUAGUUCAGUAUGCAACCCAUUUCCACCCUCACCCCAGCCCACCCCCAUCCAAAACUCUUUAAGCCCUGAAGGUGGGCGAGUUGGGGAGGUGAAGGGAGUGAAGAAGACUUAGCUAUUGACCAGGGUUGGGUGGGAGGUAAUCCUUUAUGCUUUAUUUCACUUUUAUUUUUUUGACAAAACUCUUGCUUCAGAACAUCUGCAUUUUUGGAAGUAAGUCCAUAGCAGAACUAAGCGAAACCCUCCCACGGAUAGCAUAAAUUUGCAUUGCCGAAGCUGCCGGUCUGCGGGAUUCUUGAGCCGGGAGGAGGCAAAUUCCCUUUCCAGCUCUUGCAAAAAUACCUCCAGUAAAAGCAAGCCCUUCGGCCCCUUUCUACUUUCCAGGUUUCAGCAUAUACUUCUUUGCUUUAUUUGUUGUUUAUAUGUUUAGUUCAGUCUCCAAAUGGAUUUUAAACACUUCGAAGGCAGAGAAGGACUCUCCUAAACUUUACGUCUCCCGACUCAGUUGAAUAGAUGAUGCACAACAGAUUGAAGUUCAGUGAUGAAUACAAUUCCUCAUUGAGAGGAUACUGGCUCAUCAGCAUGCUCCAAUGGCAUGCCUCACGUUCAGAAGAACAAAGAUGAGAGCAGCUAUGGAAAGCAAUUGAUAUUCCUGCCCAGGUUGGAGUUGAUGUGCAAAUGGAUAAACACAAUGUUACCAUUCUGAGGAAGCUAUAUGGAAUCACACCAGCAGGGGUUUGAUACUGAAUUUCCUUCUGUUUUUAGCUCUGUUGUCAUUUCAGAAGCUGAGAAACCAAGAAUCUCCUAGAGAUGUAUUAAGGGAUUCCAACCCCCAACAGAGAACUAUGCAACAAUUAGCAAUCACAGAAAAAGUAAACAAUAAAGCAUGUAACAAUACAAGGGGGGGGGUAUUACAAAAUGGAUUUAUAAAUGUGGGGUGGUAUUAGUUUAGUAUGACUUUGUUACUCACUAUUAUUAACAUAGUGCUUACGGACCUUUUUAGAUAGUGUAUAAAAUGAACUAGUCUAGAGCUAAAUAGCUAAUAGUUUCUGUUUUUAAUUAAGCUCUGUCUUAAUAUCUCCCCAGGGGUCUAAUACACUGGAAUCCAUUUUUGAGGGGAGAGAGGAGCUUAAGGCUACUUCUAAG